rnacentral:lncRNA from 1 species
CCAGUGUCCAUUCAUGAAUGGAAGAAUCAAUUUUUUUUACUUCUUCUUCUUCUUUCUCUUGGAGCUUUCCUUUGUGCUGGGGCGAUCCGAGAACUGGCACCAACGAGAAUAGUAUAGUCGGGUGGAUGCCACUGACCGGAAAGACUUUCUCCGACUAAAAGAUAUGAAAGUUCCACCACAGUGAGAGCUGAUGAUCAAACAGGCUCUCUACGAUGUCAGAC